rnacentral:rRNA from 1 species
UUCCGGUUGAUCCCGCCGGAGGUCACCGCUAUUGGAAUACGAUUAAGGCAUGCGAGUCGAGAGUCUUAGGGACUCGGCAGACGGCUCAGUAACACGUAGAUAAUCUGCCCUUAGGUAGGGGAUAACCUCGAGAAAUUGAGAAUAAUACCCUAUAGGUCUAAGAUGCUGGAAUGUUUUUAGAUUGAAAGCUCCGGCGCCUAAGGAUGAGUCUGCGGCCUAUCAGGUUGUAGUGAGUGUAACGGACUCACUAGCCGACGACGGGUACGGGCCCUGAGAGGGGAAGCCCGGAGAUGGACUCUGAGACACGAGUCCAGGCCCCAAGGGGCGCAGCAGCUACGAAAACUUCACAAUGUGGGAAACCGCGAUGAGGGAAUUCCGAGUGCUGCAGUUUAACUGUAGCUGUUUACUUGCCUAAAAAGCAAGUAGAGUAAGGGCUGGGUAAGACUGGUGCCAGCCGCCGCGGUAAUACCAGCAGCCCUAGUGGUGAUCGUUUUUAUUGGGCCUAAAGCGUCCGUAGCCGGUUUGGUAAACCCUUGGGUAAAUCGAGCAGCUUAACUGUUCGAAUUCUGAGGAGACUGCCAGACUUGGGACCGGGAGAAGUUGGAAGUACUUUUGGGGUAGGGGUGAAAUCCUGUAAUCCCAAAAGGACUACCGGUGGCGAAGGCGUCCAACUAGAACGGGUUCGACGGUAAGGGACGAAGCCCUGGGUCACGAACCGGAUUAGAUACCCGGGUAGUCCAGGGUGUAAACGCUGCAGGCUUGGUGUUGGGGGUCCUACGUGGGCGUCCAGUGCCGAAGAGAAGUUGUUAAGCCUGCCGCCUGGGGAGUACGAUCGCAAGAUUGAAACUUAAAGG